UGGGGAAUAUUGCGCAAUGGGCGAAAGCCUGACGCAGCGACGCCGCGUGGGGGGAUGACGGCCUUCGGGUUGUAAAACCUCUUUUCGCCAGGGACGAAGCGUGAGUGACGGUACCUGGAUAAGAAGCACCGGCCAACUACGUGCCAGCAGCCGCGGUAACACGUAGGGUGCGAGCGUUGUCCGGAAUUAUUGGGCGUAAAGAGCUCGUAGGCGGUCUGUCGCGUCGGUCGUGAAAACUUGGGGCUUAACCCUGAGCUUGCGGUCGAUACGGGCAUGACUGGAGUUCGGCAGGGGAGACUGGAAUUCCUGGUGUAGCGGUGAAAUGCGCAGAUAUCAGGAGGAACACCGGUGGCGAAGGCGGGUCUCUGGGCCGAUACUGACGCUGAGGAGCGAAAGCGUGGGGAGCGAACAGGAUUAGAUACCCUGGUAGUCCACGCCGUAAACGGUGGGCGCUAGGUGUGGGGGCCAUUCCACGGUCUCUGUGCCGCAGCUAACGCAUUAAGCGCCCCGCCUGGGGAGUACGGCCGCAAGGCUAAAAC
rnacentral:rRNA from 1 species